GGAAAAAAUAUGAAAUUAUAUUUGAUCAAUUAUAUUUGAUCCUUUUUUAUAAAGCACAAAUUGAAGUGUUAUGUUUCUUACUGAAAGUUAUCUGACCACAGAUGAAAAAGUGUGGGAAAACCACAGCAGAGCAACAGCAAGAAGAAGCUCAACCCCAGACCUUGUCAGAGGAUGCAGUGGACACAGAGAGUCUCCGGAGAUAUGUUGCAGCUCCUGGGGAUUUGGAAAGAAAACAAACAAAGCCAAACUAUCCCUUGAGUGGAACAAUUCCAGUUCAGUUUCAUAAAUCAGAUACAGUUUGGAUCUGUUGAAAAAACUCUGUAAGAAAUGUCAGAAAGAGAUCAGUCAGUACACCUGAGAAAUUCUAUUGGGGUGUAAAAUCUCAUAGUUUUGUAAUCAAUCUAUGGGGAUGGAAAAGUUCAUUCCCUGGUGAGUGGGUACUGCAGAUUCCAACUGUUUUUGCAGAAUCAUCUUUUUUCUCCGUUUGUCAUCCCAGGACUCUAGAAGUGGUGUUACAGUACCUCUCACAAUUAGCUCAGAGUGAGAGAGGUAUAUGAAUAGCAUUAGAACUCCAUUCCCAAUGGACUGUUUGUUCUUCAUGGCUAUUUUAUUUUAUAGUCCAGUUAUCAUCCUACUCCACAAAUGUCUAAUCAGAUAGCAAGUGCUUCCUUGGGGCCUUAGGAUCCUUCAUAUAAUUUGGGGACAACGCUGAAACAGGUAAGGUCAGUGUCACCUGAAACAGAAUAAUACAUUUCUUAUUAAUAGUCUAAGUGUUUUCCCCUGAUUUCCAAGUGACUGAGAAUAGCAGGCACAAUCCUUCCGUUUUCAUAUUUAGAGCAACCGCAACACUGAAGUGCAGACCUUGGGCAACAUGAGUGGCCAGUGAAUCACAGAGAACACAAAGGACAAGGUUUUUAUAACAUGUCAGCUAGCCCCUGAUAGCUACCAUGUGGUGAUAACGACUAUUCAGUCCAAGCCCUAAAUGAGAUGGAGAAAGUGCACGUGUAAAGAAGGAACGCAUCUCUGCAGUGAUGUUCCUAUUCCUACAAUUUCUGCAGUUCCUGGAAAAAGAAUGAAUUCAGAGGCCUGGACUGUUAACACUGAACUUACUGAUGUGGAUGUUGUGGAGAGCCUAGUGGUGCAAAUCACAUAUGUCUAUAAAGAAGGAAAAUUGAUUGUGUCACAGCAAAUGAGCUGCUGCUGGUCUGAUCAGCCUCAUGAAGUCAAGGUUUGCACUCAAGUGCCAUUAGUUUGGAGUUACAUGUCAGGUAUAAUUUAAUACUGAGAAUCUAGAAUUGUCUGACUGGACUUUGGAGAGAGCCUAACCCCUCUGUUCUGCAUGUCAAAUUAACUACCCAGUAGUGAGUUCCCCUGGCAAAGUGAUCACCCGUUGGCCAGCUGCCACACCACAAAGCUCCCCAUACAACCGUCUCAGAAAUGGAAACUUGUUAUUCUUUAGCUGCCCUGUGAAUACCCGUUCUGUCAAGGCUGGAGGGAAAUAUUUGGGGCAGGCAGGCUGAGAAAACAGAGAGGUGUUGGGUGUCAGAAUUGAUUUAAAUGGGCUGCAGCUUUGCGCAUAAGCACUGGAGCUCAGCAGCCAGAGGAUGGAAGGUACCAAGAGCUGGGGGCUUUACAGGCAGAAGAAAGUGUGCUAGAGAUAACCUUGAAUGCCCAAGAGCUUCAUUUGGAUGUAAGAAGAGAGCAUUGUUUGUUCCAGCAUGACAUGUGAGGUCUUCCUAAGUUUCACAAGCAUUCACAGGUAGCAGUUGUGUUUACAGGACUCCUGGUACACUGCUGCUGGCAAAUCAAUGAACAUUACUCCCCAGAUGCCCUUACAGGCUGAGCUGCCAGGGGACCAGGUAAGUAUGAGAAUAACAGACUCAGUCUCAGCAAAUGUGAUUCUGUGAUUCUGAAAUGACCUCUACUUGAGUCUGUUGUGGAGUUAACAGUUCCCAGUGAUCGCAGUGACAAAGCCUUCUUACAGAACUUCAGUAUGCACUAAGCACUUUUGGGUGCUUGUCCAUCAAAGAGAUCCCAGUGUCCCUAUAGCCUCUGCCUUAUUCAAACAAGGAGACCUGCUGGAGCACCUAUCUCUCUAACUGUAAAGAAAAAUGGGCUGGUAAGGGUUGGUGAAUAUCAUCUGUCAUCCUGUCAUGCAAUUCGUACGUAUUCAGAGCAUGUCCAGAUGCCAGGAUUUGGAAAGUGGCAAAUCUGGAUGCCUUGAUAUAAAAAUGAUCAUGAUUGAGAAUCAUAGGAUCCCGACUGUCCCAAGGUCUCCAGCCCAAGACCCUGCUCAAAGCAGAGUCAUCUAUGUGAGCAAACCAGACUGCUCAGGGCUUGCUCAGAGAGCACAGAUCUUGGAAACAGAUACACAUAUUUGCCAUUUUGUUCAGAAGGACAUGCCAUAUAUUUUCUAUUUUCUUAGUCAUAAAUGAUAUUAGUUCUUCGUACUUUCAAGUAUUUUUUCCCCAGUUUCCACCAUUGAAUGUCAACUCCAAUCUAUGAUGCCUAAACAGAGCUGAGACAAAGGACAGGAAACCUGAAUAAAUAUGUUAGUGACAAAUCUGUUUCACUUUUCUUCCAAAUCUAUUCUGAAACUGUUGCUAGGCUUGGCAAAGUAGCCUACAUUAAAACAUAUCUUGCAUUAAGCCACUUCCUUUCUACUCAUAAAUUUAGUUUUCUCUUUCUUUUCUACUGCCUGUCACCUGAAGUUCUGAGGAUUUUCAGGAGACUUUCUGGUUUAUUCCACCUCACAGAGGAAGACCCCUUGACUCAUUUUCUUUCUCCUUUCUCAUAUUCAGUAGCCUUACAGACAAGCAAUCCUUCUAAAAUCCAUUUUGUAUCAAGAAAGAGCAAAUCUAGUUACACUCUGCAUUACAUAUCACUGUUACAUGUGUGCAUUUACAUUGUUCACUUGCUUACAGUAAUAGAGAUAUGUUUACCAUAAUUUAUUUUCAUAAUUUAUUUAUUUUGCAAAUACCAACAUACUCAACUCAUUGUUAACAAUUCCGUUGGGCACAACCUAGUAUGGGGUAUUCUGACCUGUCACCCCAUCAACAGUUGAGCUGGUUCAGUAUAUUUUCUUACUUAGCUCUUCUAGCACUCUUGAUAAUCCUGAUUUAACAUCUUCAAAGGCAUCAUUCUGCAGAGCCUGUGAGUCUACAAUAAAAGUGCCGAGACUUGUCAGGUUUUCUGCCUUAGAGAUGCCCAUCACUUCAGGCUUGAUGUGAUGUUUAUCUCUGAUAAACAGCUUGCUCAAAGACAUCAUCUGAAUUUGGAUAUAGUACAUUAGCAGCUUCUUAAUCUGGUUCAAUCUUUAUGCUUGGGCUGGCAAGCUACUCAGAAAAGAUGCUCACAUUUAUUUUCCCUCAUCCUGAGCCUCCAGAGAAUGUGGAUGGUCAACAGGCUUCAUAAGGCCAAAGAAUUAAGCGGACAUUGUACUGGUAUGCAGCAUAAAAUAUAUUUAAAUCACACAAGAGUUUUUAGUGGUCUCUGACAGAUAAGAGAACUAGAUAUCUUUAAUUCUAAUGAGAAAUUAGUCUGUUUGCAGGGAUGUCUACAUAAAGAGAAAGAAAAGUAUACCUGAAAUAUGUGUCUAUCAUCACUUCUUUCCAAUGAAGAACAUUUUCAUAUUGAUAUACUGAUGAACAAUAUCUAAAAGCAGUAGACUUUUGUAAAUCUACUUGUGGGUAUGGACUUUUUCCCUUAACAUAACUUGAAUCAAUUUGUGUUGCCUAAUCUGUAUCUAGAAGUUUAAUGCUACUUUCAUAGGCAUUUCCAAAGUAUUAGGGCAUUUACUAGUCUUUUUAACUACUGUUUAUAUGACAAGAUUGCUUUACAAAAAAGCUUUUGUUAUUUAUUAUAAAUGCUAGGGGGUAGCUGACUAUUUGAUGAGAUGCUGGAUUAACUUGUGUGUGUUUUGGAAAAAUAAGUACUCUAAUCUCAGAGCAGGCCUGAAGUAUUCACUCAUCAAUAUUAAUAUCUGAAGAUGUACCACAAAGGGACUGAUCAGAAAUGCUGUGAAAGGCAAGAAGGUUGUAAAGUUUGGUGUGGAAUAAUAGA